GUCCCACAGAUCCUAGAUCAGUCUCCAGCGCAGUAAAUGGACCGUGCCAUCAGAAAUUAAAGAGAACGUUCCAAAACGGCCCGAACAGGGGGGACUGUGACGUUUCCAACUAACACCUAGUUCCCCAAAAAAAGAGGUAACCCAACAUAUUAUUUAGUUUAAAAUUUAUUUUUAAGCGUAAUUAUCUAUAGUCAUUCGUUUCCAACUAAGCUUCUAUAUUCAGGCAUAAAAUAAUCAAGCGUUUGAUUUGAGUUAUCCCUAAAAUGGACCGUACCACUUCCCAACCAGCCGUUUUGACGGAGCUGUCUAUUAAUUCCAGCUAAUUUAACUUCCUAGAAGAGACCGAAUUCCGGCGACAAGAACUAAAACUUUUGAGGAGCAAUACAAGACCUUGUCUGAUGCCAUUGAGCAGAAACGAGACCAAGCAGGUGAAGAAACAGGAAACAGGAAGGUGAAGACAAAGUUGGGCUGAGAGGGAGAUUAGGAGAUCCGCCAGGGGGGUGGAGAAAUGAGAUGAUGGAAAACUCCGGGAGCGUGUCGGGCGAGUGAAAGGUCCAGGCUGCUUGGCGUUCAGCUCCAGGACCAGGAGGUGUUUCUGUUCUUGUGCUCCUCUGGGUCUUUUUGUACUCGUGCCGUGUUCCUCCAGAACCAACUGAGGACCUUUUACUGGAGAUACUGCAGUGACCAGACAGAAAUCAGCUCAGACACUCACCAUUCCUACUAGCUGAGGGCGCUCUUCUGGGAGCACCUGGAUCUUCUGGAGAGCCAAGCAGAGAGCUGCUGGACUGAUUUGCACCAAGUGGACUGGGUCUCUUCAGUCGUUGGAGUCCAGGUUCUCUG